GCCAGCACCCCAAAUCAAGACUUUUUUAUUUUCCGUGGCGGGAAAUCGAGCUUUUCCAGGUAUCUACAGCCUGUAGAAAUUCAACGCUGAGAAUUUCCAACUAUUGUCCGGCUUUGGCCCUCUGCCACCGACCUAUCCUUUGAAGGAGAGUGCUGAAACCAGUUGGUUGCUCUUCAGUAGUUCUUUCUCUAUCGUACACAUAUUUUUGUAUGUCGACACAUGCUGUGUGCGACGACGUAGACACUUCUCAACACUUGAGUGACUUGAAUUUGGCCAUGAUGACCGAAUGUCAUUGGACCGUGGAGUCGAGUAGAGGGCUCAGGCUCGAUCGGCACAACGGUUCAUUGCAGGUUGAACGAGGAAUGAACGUCUACUCUUUCUUUCCAAAACUGGCUGGGCACACGCCAAUGAGACGGAAGCUAGUGCCAAACCAGUCCUUGGAAGUUUUGUUGUGCUGCUGGACUUUCAAUCAUCAUGUAAAGUAUAUUCCGGUUUCUGAGUCUUCGUGUGCGCCUGAAGAGCUACACUGUGUAGAGAUGUUGGAAGUUUAUCCUGCUCACGACACUGCACCAAGUACAAGCACUUCCUCGGCACUGCCUGAGCCCUGUUCUGUGUUAACUGUGACCAGGAGAAGCAACUAGAAAUUUGGAGCUUGAGCUGGAACGCUGGUGCUCUCUCUCUGUCUCUCUCUCUCUCUCUCUCUCUCUCUCUCUCUCUCUCUCUCUCUCUCUCUCUCUCUCUCUCUCUCUCUCUCUCUCUCUCUCUCUCUCUCUCUCUCUCUCUCUCUCCGUCACGUUCUGCCACUGUCCGAAACCGGUGCAUGUGCAAGCAUGUCGAAGCGCAUUGUGUCUGAGUCACUCACUCACUCUCCUGCUCCUCCCUCAUAUGCCCAAGACAGUAUGACCAACUGUGAAUACAGUUCAUGCCCACAUGUGAACUUGUGUGGUUCUCUUGUAGUAAGCUGCCACGCGUGUACUUGCACGUUUUGUGUACAUGUGUGUGUGUGCGUGUGUGUGUAUCUAUGGGACUGCGUUCUCCUAUUCUCUCUCCGGUGCCUUCGAGGCCCACGCAACCCUUGUGGCAGUGGCUCGACAGCACAGGGCCUAGGGCAGGAGUGUGCGCGCGUGCAUGUGUAUAUGUGGGUGUGUGUGCGCGCGCGCUUGUGCAUGCGCAUGUGUGGGUGUGCGCGCGAGCAUGCAGAUGUGUGUGUGUGGGUGUGUGCGCACGCUGAUGCUCAGCUCUCCAGAAUGAUGUCCGUGUGCGUAGCCAGUGUAUGGUGGCAACAUAGCCUUCCUUCAUGUAUAUGUGUAUGCGCAUACUAUUUGGGAUGCAUUACUGUUUUUGGUGGGAUCCAGUUACAUAGUUUUCUGGUCAAUUAUUUAUGUUUAUACAGCUGCUGUA